UAAGACGAAGGAUCCAAGCGUUAUCCGGAUUCAUUGGGUUUAAAGGGUGCGUAGGCGGCCCGGUAAGUCAGUGGUGAAAGCCUGUUGCUUAACAACAGAACUGCCAUUGAUACUGCCAGGCUUGAGUACAGUUGCUGUGGGCGGAAUAUGACAUGUAGUGGUGAAAUACAUAGAGAUGUCAUAGAACACCGAUUGCGAAGGCAGCUCACAAAACUGUAACUGACGCUGAGGCACGAAAGUGCGGGGAUCAAACAGG
rnacentral:rRNA from 1 species